GAGGUUGUGGCUCAGUAGUAGAGCACUUGCCUAGCAUGUGUGAGGUCCUGGGUUCGAUCCUCAGCACCACA
rnacentral:tRNA from 1 species